GAUCGGGGUGUCGCGGGAGCUCCAGUCGCUGCAGUGCCGAGGAUUUACUAGGCCUGUAAAGGUAGCAAUAUAUUUUUCCUUGAGGGGAGGUUUAUAUUUGGACCUGAUGCAUGGGCUGCAAAGAAGAUGAAACCCAAGGUUGGAAUCUCAGGUCCUUGAGAAAGAUGUUUCCAAAGACAAGCAUUGAAUUAUCUUAGGCAUGGAUUAAGAAGUUGCUUAUGCAAACCAGUCUGAACCUGCUCUACGCUGUUACCUUUUUUGAAGAUCUUGAAUAAAACUAAUGUUGUUGAGAGGUGAGAUGUGCA